UGAAAGAUUAGGCACUACCUCCCAUUGUC
rnacentral:piRNA from 1 species